GAUGAACGCUGGCGGCGUGCCUAAUACAUGCAAGUCGAGCGAACAGACGAGGAGCUUGCUCCUCUGACGUUAGCGGCGGACGGGUGAGUAACACGUGGAUAACCUACCUAUAAGACUGGGAUAACUUCGGGAAACCGGAGCUAAUACUGGAUAAUAUAUUGAACCGCAUGGUUCAAUAGUGAAAGACGGUUUUGCUGUCACUUAUAGAUGGAUCCGCGCCGCAUUAGCUAGUUGGUAAGGUAACGGCUUACCAAGGCAACGAUGCGUAGCCGACCUGAGAGGGUGGUCGGCCACCCUGGAACUGAGACACGGUCCAGACUCCUACGGGAGGCAGCAGUAGGGAAUCUUCCGCAAUGGGCGAAAGCCUGACGGAGCAACGCCGCGUGAGUGAUGAAGGUCUUCGGAUCGUAAAACUCUGUUAUUAGGGAAGAACAAAUGUGUAAGUAACUAUGCACGGCUUGACGGUACCUAGUCAGAAAGCCACGGCUAACUACGUG
rnacentral:rRNA from 1 species